rnacentral:rRNA from 1 species
AUACGGAGGGUGCAAGCAUUAAUCGGAUUUACUGGGCGUAAAGGGCGCGUAGGCGGACAGAAAAGUCGGGUGUGAAAUUUCAGAACUCAAUUCUGAAGCUGCACUCGAAACUUUCUAUCUAGAGAAUAGGCGGAGAAAACGGAAUUCCACGUGUAGCGGUGAAAUGCGUAGAUAUGUGGAAGAACACCUGUGGCGAAAGCGGUUUUCUAGCUUAUUUCUGACGCUGAGGCGCGAGAGCAAGGGGAGCAAACAGGAUUAGAAACCCCAGUAGUCC